rnacentral:lncRNA from 1 species
CACAGAAUCAUAUGAACAUUCAGACAAUUCAUUGAAGUCAAAUUAGCCAAUGUUCACCAUAUUGAACCAAAACUAACUAGAAAUUAAAAUUCAAAGACCAACAAAAUGUUUCAUAUGAAAUUAAUGGCAAAAAGGUAAAAUUCAAAGUUCUAGUAUAAUAACUGACAUAUGCGUAUGAACUUCAAUUCCAACUCAAGAUCAAAACAACGAAUUAGGAAGAAAUUGUGAAAUUCUUGUGAAUAUCAAAUUUCCCGAAAUUGGGGGAAAAAUAGUGGAAUCCAGUGAAUUUGGCAGCUCGAUUUUAAAGAUUAUGGCCGGACGUAGAGAUUGCCUGAAAUUGUUGAAAAUGGCAAAACCUAGAGAUUUUGGAAUGAAGACAACUCGAUUUUGGAGAUUAUGGCUGGUUUUUGUGGAGAUGAGGAAUUGCAUGAGAAUGCCACAUGUUUUCAAUAGCUAAUCUGCCAAUUUUUAUGAAUAGAAAUAAAAUGUCACAACAAACACCACCAAUGGUACCGGAAUCUGUAUACCGCUCGUCGCUCCACCUCAUACAACAUUGAGAUCUCUCAGCGCCAUUCCAGAUCUUGAAAUCUCACAGACAACUCCAUCGUCGCUAUGUAAACAACGUCGAGCGACGAGAUUAACACAGCCAUUGAAAUCUAUAUACCCUGCACGGAUCGAAAUCUCAUGCCACCGCACCUCGUACAACUCUUAGAUUAACGCACCUCGUUGCUCCACCUCGCAGAUUAACGUUGCUCGUACGUUACACCUUGCACAGAUUGAAGUCUCGCAUCACCCCCAACUCCCACAGCCGCUCCGGUGUGUGGUAAAGAGACGAACGGUAGAGAUGAUAGAUAGAGACGAGAGAGGGAGAGAGAGGAGAUGGGUCUGUGUCUCUGGGUAGGGUUUUUUAUUUUUUGUAAUUAGUUUAUUUAAAUAAUUAAUAAAAAAUUCUGAUUUCUGAAAUGUUAAACUUUCCCCCUAUUUUAGAAUUCUUGAUUUUAAU